rnacentral:antisense_RNA from 1 species
CUUCAGCGAGCCGAGCAGCAGCGGCCGGUCGGCGGGACGGUCCUGGCCGUAGGUGGCCAGCAGCGCCUGCGCCUC